CAGAAGGGCCGUGCAGAUCAAAUAAAGCCCGUGUCAGGAAAAGUUGAUGGAUGCGAUGACAGUACUUCAGCCGUUACAUUAGGAGAGAAGAAAACGCUGGGGACAAUUCUCGAUCAGAAAGGAGAUUUAUCCAGAUUUUUACAAAUGUCGAUGACAAAGGAAAAGCGGUCAAUCCUCUAUAACCAGGAAAAGGUGUUCUUCUUGCGUGACGUCGCAAAGAGUUUGAAUGAACACCACAUCAACGUUGAAAGGGCAAUGGGUGUCACUGGUGCUGAUAACAUCCUGUUUCGGAA